GACGAACGCUGGCGGCGUGCUUAACACAUGCAAGUCGAACGGAUCAGGGGAGCUUGCUUCUCUGGUUAGUGGCGAACGGGUGAGUAACACGUGAGUAACCUGCCCUUCACUCUGGGAUAACUCCGGGAAACCGGGGCUAAUACUGGAUACGACCUGAACAGGCAUCUGUAUUGGGUGGAAAGAUUUAUUGGUGGAGGAUGGACUCGCGGCCUAUCAGCUUGUUGGUGAGGUAAUGGCUCACCAGGGCGACGACGGGUAGCCGGCCUGAGAGGGCGAUCGGCCACACUGGGACUGAGACACGGCCCAGACUCCUACGGGAGGCAGCAGUGGGGAAUAUUGCACAAUGGGCGAAAGCCUGAUGCAGCGACGCCGCGUGAGGAUGAAGGCCU
rnacentral:rRNA from 1 species